rnacentral:rRNA from 1 species
AGAGAGAGACAUGCGCGCAUAUCAAUAAGCGGAGGAAAAGAAACUAACAAGGAUUCCCCUAGUAACGGCGAGUGAAGCGGGAAGAGCUCAAAUUUGAAAUCUUCAAGGUUCUACCUUGACGAAUUGUAGUUUAAAGAAGUGUUUUCUGUUGGAGUUUUGGUAAAAGUUCUUUGGAAUAGGACAUCAUAGAGGGUGAGAAUCCCGUAUUUGACCAUUAUUUCCAGCUUUGUGAUACACUUUCAAAGAGUCGGAUUGUUUGGGAAUGCAGUCCAAAAUGGGUGGUAAAUUUCAUCUAAAGCUAAAUAUUGGCGAGAGACCGAUAGCGAACAAGUACCGUGAGGGAAAGAUGAAAAGAACUUUGAAAAGAGAGUUAAACAGUACGUGAAAUUGUCAAAAGAGAAGCGUUUGACACCAGUGUUGUUUUCUCGAAAAUCAAUUAAAAAGAGUCAGGAUUUUGUGUUGUAUUGACCUUUACCAGCUUGCAUUCACUCUUUCUUGUCUUUUUUAAUGCACUUUUCGUUUAACAAGUCAACAUCAGUUUCUUUUGUUGUAAAAGGGUCAUUGGAAGGUGGCUCUCUUUUCGGAGAAAGUGUUUAUAGCCUUUGGCCUCUGCAAUCGGAGAGAUUGAGGUCUGCAGCGUAGAUCCUUCGGGGUUAGAUACAGUUUGUGCUAAGUUAUAGCCUUUCAUAGACAACUUGUUGACUAUGAUCAGUCAUGUAGCUUACUCGCUUAUGCUAUUUUACCUACGCUUAGGAUGUUGAUGUGAUACUGCGAGCA